CCCCUAAACUGGGAUUAGAUACCCCACUAUGCUUAGCCGUAAACAUUGGUAGACCAACUACAUGCCCUACCCGCCCGGAUACUACGAGCAUUAGCUUGAAAUCCAAAGGACUUGGCGGUGCUUUAGACCCCCCUAGAGGAGCCUGUUCUACAACCGAUAAUCCUCGUUUAACCUCACCCUUCCUUGUUUACCCCGCCUAUAUACCGCCGUCGUCAGCUAACCCUGUGAAGGUUCAAUAGUUAGCACAAUUGAUAUAACCAAAAACGUCAGGUCGAGGUGUAGCGGAUGGAGGGGGAAGAAAUGGGCUACAUUCUCUUUAAUAGAGCAUACGAAUGGUGAACUGAAAACUCAUCUGAAGGUGGAUUUAGCAGUAAGGGGGAAGCAGAGUGCCCCCCUGUAAGAUGGUCUUACAGUGU
rnacentral:rRNA from 1 species